GUAUUGUAUUGCGUUAAACGCGGUAUGCAUUCCAUAAGACUUCACUACAGUGUGUGUGUGUGUAAAUACAUAGAACCACGGCAGGGGGACAGAGCCCCCAGGCUGCAGAACUAUGGAGGGUGCACAGGUGUGAGUGGAUGUGCAAACAGAGCGUGCACAUGUCCCCAUUCGAGGACCAGCAACAACUCGUGUUGACAAUUCGGUAAUGAUCCUUCCGCAGGUUCACCUACGGAAA
rnacentral:misc_RNA from 1 species